rnacentral:rRNA from 1 species
UACGUAGGGACCAAGCGUUGUUCGGAUUCAUUGGGCGUAAAGGGUGCGUAGGCGGCGCGGUAAGUCGGGUGUGAAAUCUCGGAGCUUAACUCCGAAACUGCAUUCGAUACUGCCGUGCUUGAGGACUGGAGAGGAGACUGGAAUUUACGGUGUAGCGGUGAAAUGCGUAGAUAUCUGGAGGAACACCGGUGGCGAAGGCGGCAUCCUGGACCAAUUCUGACGCUGAGGAGCGAAAGCCAGGGGAGCAAACGGG